rnacentral:lncRNA from 1 species
CCUAAAGUCCAAAUAUAUCACAUUGCUGAAAUCACUUCAUCUCUGAAAUCACAGGCUACGCACGGAAAAUGAAAAACCUAUACAUGAUCUUGACGUUGUUGAGUAAAAAUUGGGGUGGUGAUGUUCGAUGGUUGGGAAAAGGACAAGCAGCAGUGCGGACAAGCCUCUGUUUUAGUAGUCGGGCAGUUGAAGGCCUUAAUUGAAAAAUCUCUUGCUAUGGUCACGACCCGUCUUUGGAGCCCUUCUAAGAUGAUGUCAACAACGAUGAUUAGCCUGACCGAGACCAGUCUUAGACUCCCGUCCACUAUGAAUCAUCAUCACUGCCUUCUUAGAAAUUUCAUUUUCUUUCCUUGUAUUAGGAGGAUAAGAACUUGAUGAAAAUAUGAAAAGACCCCGAAUUCAAGAACCAACAAUUUAAGAACUGAAAAUUAAACCAGAAGGUACAUAACAAACUGAACCAUUGUGGAAGCAUUGAAGAAAUUAACGGAAUUUCUAACAAAAAUUAGAAAAGAAAUAAAGACUAGAAAGAGAUGAAACUAACGAGAAGUGGAACUAGCAGAAUCCAUGGUGUGAACGUGGCUCUGAUACCAUGUUAACUACAUAGCAAAAUAUGAAAGUUUGAUGCAGUUUACAGAAGAAGAAGAUGAUAGAGGGAGAAACAAAGGAGAGAUGUAGUAGAAAAUGAAAGCUCUUGAAUUGAUUAAUCCUUCUGAUACAAUAGUUCUAGCUAUAUAUACAAACACACUUAACAACCUCACAAACUUCUAACAAAGCUAACAACUAAAUACAUUAAAUGAUGCCAUUUGUCCAUUGCCAUCCAACAUACCGGAUAGUGACACACAUCACAAAUCAACCAUAUCUCUGAGAAAAAAAGAGAUUAAAUAUCCUAACCCCCACUCCAACUAAUACCAAGGCCAUUUGUGAUAAAACCACACACCUAAAAGAUUGUGUAUGUGAUAAUUACCAAGUUAGAGAUUAUAUUAGUGUUGUUGGAAGUGGGUCUUUAGUCCGUCUCUCUGAUAAUUCUACAUGGUAUAUUAGAAACAGGGAGCGGGCUCGUAUUGCCACGUGAUGGGUGGAUCUUAUUGGCCCCUUGCGAUGAUGGUGGGUCCUUGGUUAUGCAUGUAGGGUGAGUCCCCUUAGCUCCAGGUGGUUGUCAAUUUGUGGAUCUCCCACGUGUGACCCACUAAUUGGAUCUCAUGUGAGGAGGCGUGUUGAAAUAUCACACGUUGACUGUAUCUCUGCGAAAAGAAGAGCUUAAGUAUUUUAACCCUAGUCCAACUAAUACCAUGACUAUUUGUGAUAAAACCCCACACCUGACGGAAUGUCCAUGUGGGGGCUAAGUGGCUGACCACUGCCCCAAUUUGUCCCUAGACGUUUGAAAAUUAAUAAAGGACGCUUAGGCGUUUGCCUAAUCCGCCUAGAUCCUCCUAGGCACCUGCCUAGGUUGUGACUCUUACGUAUAGAGAAAAUCGAUAACUUUAAUUUUGCAUUUUUUUUAAUAAAAUGUAAGAGACUUGUUGAAUAAUUGGAUGAACACUCAUUAUAUGCUUGUUCCACAUAUUUUCAGAUGAACACUCAUUACAUGCUUGUUCCCCAUAUUUUCAAUGUGUUCUAAUAUUUUAUAAUAUGUAUGUCAUUUUAUUUUGCAAUUUAUGUAUCCCAAUGCAACUAUGUGUUUUUUAAGUAUAAAUAGACACUUAUUUAUACAUAUAUAAUAAAUUAUUUAAAUCCUCAUAUGCCCUAGCCUACUGCCCAACUAGCGCCUAGCGUCUUUUAAAACCUUACUUAUAAGUGAGAGGUUUUAGAUUUGAUUCUCGCUAAAGGUGAAUUUGAACUACAUAAUUAUGGCUCACCCAUUGUGAGGCUUAGCUCACUCUUUCAUCCCCUUAGUGUAGAUAAUAUCGUUUGUUAAAAUAAAACCUAUCAAACUAAUCUAAACACACAAUUAGAGGUGUGUUUUAUUUAGGGUUUUUAUCACAAAUGGUCCCUGACAUUCACUACCGCACAUCAAUUUGGUCUUUUUGUUAAAAUUUCAUCAACUAUGUGGGACCCACAAAUCCAAUGAAUUGAUGACAAGUGGAUUACAUAAAAUAAGGGUUUUUAUCGCAAAUGGUCCCUGACAUUGAGCCAACUCCUCAUUUUGGUCCUAGGUUUCAAAAAUCGAUAAAUUUGGUCCUUGAAUUUCAAUAUCGCACAUUAAUUUAAUCCUUCCGUUAAAGUUUCGUCAAUAUCUUUUGUCCCACUAACUCAAU